GAUAGAUUGAGAACUUUCCCUCGAAAUUUGCAAAUAUCUAAAAGGAAUAAAUAAAAAUUACAAAAACGGUUAACUAAAUAUGACUAAAUUCUUAAAAAUUAGGCUAUGAAAUGCAAACGACUUUAUUAAACACCACAACGAGCUAGAAACAAUACUUAACACGGUGGAAAUUGACGUAUGCUUAAUACCUGAGACCCAUUUUAGCAAGCAAACUUACAUUAAAUUCAGAAACUUUGAAAUAUAUCAUGCAAUACCUCCGAAUAAUUGUGCACGCGGAGAAGCUAUCAUUAUAAUAAGAAGCAAUAUUAAACACCAUGAAAAACCGUAAAAAUACAGAAGAAUUUCAAGCAAUAACUUUAACGAUAGAUAGCGACAACAACUUAUCUCCUACAGCGGUUUAUAGUCCCUCAAGACAUCAAAUAAAAUGCAAUAGGUAUCUAGAACUGAUCAAUAGCCACAAAAACAGAUUUAUGGUGGAUGGUGACUAUAAUGUAAAACAAAGGGCACCAAAAAGCUCUUCAAUUGAUUUGGUGCAGUAUAAUUUACUGGGAUACAAACUUACUGGCCAACAGAUCCACUUGGAAUACCAGAUCUUAUUGAUUUAUUCAUUACCAAACAUAUCUCUUCAAAUUAUAUGUGCAUAGAAAGCAUUUGGAUAUGACCUUUGACCAUUCACUGAUAUAUUUAACACUACACGAAAGAGUUGUUAUUAAGGAACCGCCUUUUACAUUAAAAAAUAAAAACACUGACUGGAAAUACUAUAAAGAAGUCUUAAAUUGGACAAACACAAUUCAAUAUGCAGCCUGAAGUAGUACACCAAUUAAAAUAAACGUCACACAAGUCAUAGUAUAGCAAAGAAAUCAUGUUAGCAGAAAAACGCCAAUUACGCCGAAAGUGGCAGCAAAUAAGAUCUCCAUCUGACAAAAGGGUUCUUAACAAAAACGAUGGGCACUUGCAAUUAAAAUACUCACCCUGACCAACAAGUUUUAUGAGAUAGAAAUAUUUCCCCGAUAACAGAAACCACUAUUCAUUAUUCUGAAAUUUUUAAGGGUGUUAGUUUAAUGAAAAACGAUAGUUGAUGUUUUCGCCACCAUUUAUAAUAUAUCUAUUUAUUCGCUUCCAUACUUUCAUGUUCAAGAAAAUAUACAAUUGGUUUGUAGUAUGAAAUAUAUGAAAUGAAAACUCGUGA